UGUUCUGAGUUUGAAUUCCUCCGAAGUCGACUUUGCCGUUCAUACUGUCGAGGUCGAUAAAAUAAGUACCAGUCGAGUACUGCGGUCGAUGCAAUCAACAACCCCUUCCCCAACUGCUGGCCAUCUACCAAAAAUUUGAAACUCAUUAUUAAUAUUAUUAUUUUUAUUAAUAUAUAU